rnacentral:rRNA from 1 species
GAUGAACGCUGGCGGCGUGCCUAAUACAUGCAAGUCGAGCGAACAGACGAGGAGCUUGCUCCUCUGACGUUAGCGGCGGACGGGUGAGUAACACGUGGAUAACCUACCUAUAAUACUGGGAUAACUUCGGGAAACCGGAGCUAAUACCGGAUAAUAUAUUGAACCGCAUGGUUCAAUAGUGAAAGACGGUUUUGCUGUCACUUAUAGAUGGAUCCGCGCCGCAUUAGCUAGUUGGUAAGGUAACGGCUUACCAAGGCAACGAUCCGUAGCCGACCUGAGAGGGUGAUCGGCCACACUGGAACUGAGACACGGUCCAGACUCCUACGGGAGGCAGCAGUAGGGAAUCUUCCGCAAUGGGCGAAAGCUUGACGGAGCAACGCCGCGUGAGUGAUGAAGGUCUUCGGAUCGUAAAACUCUGUUAUUAGGGAAGAACAAAUGUGUAAGUAACUAUGCACGUCUUGACGGUACCUAAUCAGAAAGCCACGGCUAACUACGUG